UACGUAGGGCGCAAGCGUUGUCCGGAAUUACUGGGCGUAAAGGGCGCGUAGGCGGCCUGCUAAGUCGGACGUGAAAUCCCCAGGCUCAACCUGGGAACUGCGUCCGAUACUGGAUGGCUUGAAUUCGGGAGAGGGAUGCAGAAUUCCAGGUGUAGCGGUGAAAUGCGUAGAUAUCUGGAGGAAUACCGGUGGCGAAGGCGGCAUCCUGGACCGAC
rnacentral:rRNA from 1 species